CUACCUUUCUACCGUGCUUUGUGCAUGCUCGCUCCCUUUGGUAAUUGGUUUUCAUUUUCAACUUUGUAUUAUUUCGUAUUGACAUAUUUUGAUCAUAUUAUAUCUUGCAUCAAACGCUUAAAGGCUUUCAAAAUUAUUGUUGACAGUGAUUUCUAAUGCAAUUUUUUUUUUGGCAGGGGAUGAGCUGGCAAACUAUGGAAUGGUGCUGUGAGAGCAAAUGCUGCAUUUGGCUUUGGAUGCUGUAUUGGUGGAUGUGUUACAGCCAAAUGGAGUGAUUUUGGUACUCAAGUAUCAGGACUGCAAUUCUUGCGGAUUUUCUGUUACUGCAUGCGUAGCUUUUUUGCUUUGAUUUUACAUUUUAUGUUUGGUCUGAAUUUUGCAUAUCAUUUUAGGGAUGGGUCCUUAGAUACAUAUAUUCCAUGUAUAUUUGUGCUCUUUAUUUUUCUAUAAUCAAAAGCUUAUUAUAACCUUUGCCUCUGGUUUGAGAACUUAACCUUCUUCACUUGAAAUCUUGAAAAUUUACAUACAA
rnacentral:misc_RNA from 1 species